UCGAUCACCGACGGGUCUGCUCACUCUCGGGUCUCUCUCUCUAACGCCGACGGUCUGCGACUCCCUCUCGGCUUUCUCUCCAAACGGUCGGCGACACCCUCUUGGCUACGAGUUGCUCUCUCUGCCGAAACACAGUGAUCUCUCUUGCAACUACCUCAAUGGAUCAAUCCCCCCAAGCCUUUCUCAUGCACCCCUGCGCAUUCUGAGUGUACUGGGAAACCGACUCAGUGGUUCCAUUCCUCCAGAGAUUGGUAACAUUAGAACGCUCAGGGAGCUGUAAGUCUAAUAUAUAAAUGUGUAAUAUAUAGUAUGGUAGUGUCAAAAUGUAAGACUUUUUUAGCAAUAGUUUUCUGUCAAUUCUUUUAAGGAUCAAUUUAAUGUUUCUUCAAAAUCUGUAGGACUCAUAUAGAAGCAAAUAUUUUAAACCACUUUGUCAUUUCAAGACUUUUUUAUAAUUGUGUAUUUAUAUAUAAAUAUAUAUAUAUAUACUCAGUCAAGGUUUUGUGUA